AUGCAUCACUGCGGACAUUCUUUUACGAAGCUAUGGCGAUCGUAAACAGUAGACCACUAACGGUUGACAACCUAAACGACCCCAACAGCCUUGCACCUCUCACCCCUAAUAACCUGCUUACUAUGAAGUCUGUUCCAGCAUUACCACCACCAGGCAGAUUCAUCAGAGAAGACAUCUAUGCAAGAAAAAGGUGGCGUCAUGUUCAGUACCUCGCAGAGCAGUUUUGGAGUCGCUGGCGUAGGGAGUAUCUUUCCAACAUUGCCACCAGGCAGCGCUGGCACAGAGCAAAGAGAAACCUGCGAGUAGGAGAUAUUGUGAUGGAAAAGGCUGAUGAUCUGCCUAGAAAUGAGUGGCGGCUGGCCAGAGUUACAGAGACUACUACAGAUAAAGACGGGCUUGUAAGAAGAGUCAAAGUAUGCCUUGGUGACCGGAAUCUGGAGAAGGAUGGUCGUCGUCUCAACAAGCUGUCUGUCAUUGAACGCCCAGUCCAGAAGCUGAUACUGUUGCUAGAGACCGUCUAACUGCUUCCAGUAGCAACCAAGUGUAUCCUUUUCAUUAUAUUACUUAAAUUCUAGCAUUCAUUCAACAUAGUAUGGGCACUUUUCGUCCGUUUCUGAGUUAAAGGUCAUUUUUUUAAAAAUUUAAAAAUCAUUUGUAAUUUAUAUUUCUUAACGUCAUACAAAUCCCUCAUGAUUUGGUGGGAGUGUAAAUGACCAUUGAAUCCCCAAUCACUGAAGUAGGUCGUCAUCUUUACCUCCAACCAUAGAGGGCAGUGUUGCCAUGGAACUCCUGAGAAAGGCUUUCACAAGAAAGGACUUUAUUAUUGAACUUGAACCAAAUGUUACUUUGUUUGUUUUUGGUUGACUAAUAAUUCUUGCUGCAUACUUAAUGUGGACAUUGUAUUUUUAUUUGUUUUAUUAAGUGUACAUUUUUUACCUCACAUGCUUUUAUUUUGAAGUCUGGAAAAGGAAGUGCAGCAGCACUCUUUGUGUACAUUGGCGCUCUUUUUACGUGAAGCGCCAUUCUGAUUUAACGUUAAGAGAGAAAGGAUAAACCCUUGGGUACUCACUGUACAAAUGUUUGUUUUAAAAAGGUUUCUUUCUACAUCUUAGCUCCUGGCUGAAGGGCACAAGCUCUUACGGUGUUUUUGGAAAUUAAAUUCUUUAUAAACAUCA